CUUUGUCAGUUUGAUGAAAUGUUGUGUCUAGGUCUGUCUAUUCACCAAGGCCCAUCAGGAAAAAUACUAUGGUAACCAUGGCAAGCAGGAGUGCUGGUGGAGCGUCUCUGCUUGGAAAUUUUCGAUGUCACUCCUGAGCACCUGAGCACUCCUAACAAAUUCGAGACAGGCUCUCCUGCAGAAUCCCUGAACUCAGCGAGACCUCCAGCUUGUAGGGAGCCACCUGUCCCCAAAUGCACGGUCACAACAGCCUCCUUAUUUCCAUAUCCAGAAGCACCUCGUUUCGGCACUUUCUCAUUUCCUACAGCACAUUGCGUUGAAUGUGUUUGUAUUAAACACUCUCUUACUGUCACGCCCUCCGCCUCCACGCAACGGGGAACGCCUGCGGCGGAUCACGGGACGCCCGCAUAAGGGGAGCUGAGAGCGCAGCAAGACGCGGAACCUCCGUUCAGCCUUGCUUCUCGCUCGUGUGCCUAAAUCUAGUGUCCCGCUUACCCCGGUCUCCCUUUCCUUGUCCUUGUCCUUGUCCUUGUUCCCGAACCCUUCUCCCGUAUCUCUAAGUCCUCCUGGUAUCUCUCAGACCUCCAGCCUGCCUUUUCGGAUUACGCCUCUCGGAUUCUCCUUCUGCCCACGUUCGCGCCUCGGCGACCCCUCGCCUGGUUUUUUUUGGACGACGACUUUGGACCUCCCUUCAUAAAGCACCCUGAGCUCCGCACUUGGGUCUGGCGUCUGCGCUCCAGAAAGAAAGCAUGACACUCACAAAAAAAAUUU
rnacentral:lncRNA from 1 species